rnacentral:misc_RNA from 1 species
GAUGAAGAACGUAGCGAAAUGCGAUAAGUAAUGUGAAUUGCAGAAUUCAGUGAAUCAUCGAAUCUUUGAACGCACAUUGCGCCCGCUGGUAUUCCGGGAGGUAUGCCUGUUCGAGCGUCAUUUGUACCCUCAAGCUCUGCUUGGUGUUGGGUGUUUGUUCCGCCUCUGUGUGUGAACUCGCCUCAAAACAAUUGGCAGCCGGCGUACUUGUUUCGGAGCGCAGCACAUUUUGCGAUCCAGAUCAACGUACAGCGGCAUCCAAGAAGCCUUAUUUAACGCUCUUGACCUCGGAUCAGGUAGGGAUACCCGCUGAACUUAAGCAUAUCAAUAAGCGGAGGA